AGUUUGAAGCAUAUCAGGGCCUAGAAUUGGGCAGUUCAACCAUUUAACACAUUAAGGCCAAGUGAAAACUGCUCAGAAAAAUCCAAAUCUUUCACCUAUAGCAACUUUUUUCUUUUUUUAAAGUAACGCAAAUAGUUACUUUGCCUGGUAACUAGUUACUUUUAUUAUAGAGUAAUUCAGUUACUAACUCAGUUACUUUUUGGAACAAGUAUUGAGUAACUAUAACUAAUUACUUUUUUAAAGUAACGUUCCCAACACUGUUCAUAUGUAAGCCUGUGGUUCUUUCUACAACCCAACAAAUAGAAAGCAUUUGACUGAUAGUCAGGAAUAGCGGUUCUGUUGAUUACACACAUCAAUCUUAUUUUUUGUCAAUAAUAAUCCAUGCUUUUUACCCAAGCGUGGACUUGUGGCCAUUCCAGGAUCCAACCUGGGCCUGCGAAAUAUGCAUGUGAGCUGAAGAUGGACGUGAAUACAGCCGAAAGAAGAAUCCUCCUGUCGGAGUGUAACCGCAAAGCAACCCUGGUGCCGGCUGAACAGCCGUAGGCUACCGACCUUACCCCGAGAGAUUUGAGAAGUGGCGACAGGUGUUGGGCACCGAGGGUUUGACUGGUCGUUGCUACUGGGAGGUCCAAUGGAGCGGAGUGGUUCAUGUUGGUGUGACACACAAAGAGAUAAGGAGGGAAGGGCAGAACGAUUACUCACGCCUUGGGUGGAACAACAAGUCCUCGAGCCUGAAUUGCAGCAAAACGACGGCCUGGCACAAUGGCAAGGGCUUUGCGUUACUGGCUGUCCCCAACUGUAAGGAGAGAUUGGGGGUGCACCUGGACUGGCCGGCUGGAAUUCUAUCCUUCUACAACAUCCACCCCGGCAGGCUCAAAAUGGGUCACAUUUUCACGUUCCACGUCACAUUUACAGAGCCCCUCUACCCAGCGUUUUGGUUGGGGGGGCCAUAAUUCCUCUGCAUUGUUCUGCAAGGUUUCACCUGUAUAUCAAGUUCACUAUCGGAGGAAAUCAAACAUCAAGGCAUAAAACAUCAUUUGGACUAUUUUGAGAUAAGGACUGUUGAAAUGUCUAUUUAUUUUUUACAUCCAAAGCUUGAUCUUAUCAUGCCAGUGUGAAGAUUAGCACAAUGCUUGUGAUAUCAUAGUCCUGACUGUUAUGCAUGUGUUUGGUUAGCUUGAUUGUUUGAUGCAUGAAGCUCUCCAUCAAAUAACCCUUUGUUCAUGCUUCUCGUUCACCUUUGCUUUUUGGGAGAAAGCCUGGUGGUUCGGUUGCAUUGGAUGCAUUUGAAAUUCCUGAGGUUCCCUUUUUUUUUUAGAAAGAGGGUGACCCACCAUCACCCCCUACAGGUUCGGGGGAGAUUGAUGAGCCAAGAUGCCUUGCCCUUAGCACCUUCUGUUUUUCUAAAUGUUCUCAAUUAUAUACGUUGCUUUCAAUCCUAGGCUUAACAUGUUGCAAGAAGCAAGGAAUAAUACCGUGAAACCUGGAAUAGUUGAAUGAGACAUCUCAGUGAAGCCAAUGCAACGACAAUGAGCUAAUGACCUGCUUACGACAUUACAAAAAAGAACAGUACAGUGCUGCCAUCUUGUGGUAGAAAAUAAUAGGUGCAGUUAGUUUAAUGGAGUGGUUCGAGACAAUUCAAAUGAAAAGCAUUGGAAUAAGUCCAAAUCUGUAGUUCUAUAAGUAGCUUAUACAACAGCUCUAUUACAUAGAGUAGUCAAAGGCAUCGAAGGUAUCAGUGGCAUAAAAAACAAACAACAAACAACGUGCAAUAGACUAUUCUAAAUAUUAAAGGAUAAUUAAUUCACAGAGACAGAAAGAGACAGUAUCAUAACCAAUUAGGGAGUUAGAAAUUUAGUUUGAAAAACGAAGUGGAUAUUUGUGGAGUUUUAGGUGCGCAGUGAUUCAGUUGGCGGCAGUACCGCUACCAACCAAGAGGCUGUGCCAGGGUGUCGAUAUUCGAUGUGGAGCCAGCCUAUGAUGUAAUUUGGCAUUUCUUAACUUCAGAAAGAGUUUCUAAGCAACACUUUAUCGGAUGUAAUACAUUGUAUAUCGUUUUGGGGACAUGGCUUGAAGCAAUAAUUCUGGAAUUGGAAGAUUCAAGAUUUCCAUCCCUUUGUUAGAUGUUUUGGUUGGUGAAAUUACCGAUUCUGACAACAGAGGGGGCAGUGGAGCACAUAAUCAAUAAACGGCUUUAAUGAACAAAAAUACAUUUCAAUUGAAAACACGGUAAAUAUCUUCUAUUUAACAUUAUACGGGGGGUAACCUCAUUUAAAUGAUCGAAGAUAAAGAGGUACAGAGAUAGAGGACAAUUUAUUAUUUAAAGGAGAUCACAUGCGUGGGCUCGCACCACUGCUUAUCACUACAUUUAAUUAAACCGACAUCCCACAUUGUGAUCAAUAUGAUGGCUCUGCCAUCAAAACCAUCAUCAUGACCACGUCACAACAGAGACCAAUUGCUAAUUUUAGGUUGAGAGAGAGAGAGAGAGAGAGAGAGAGAGAGAGAGAGAGAGAGAGAGAGAGAGAGAGAGAGAGAGAGAGAGAGAGAGAGAGAGAGAGAAAGAGAAAAGAUUCUACACUAAAUUAAAGAAUUAAUUUUGCUUCCUCAAUACCAUCACUUUGUGGAGGAGAGCAAAUGAGAUGAUGAAAUUAAAGAAUAAAUAUUAUUUUGGCCGUUUCCCAUGUAACACACACACACACACACACACACACACACACACACACACACACACACACACACAAACACACAAACACACACACACACACACACACACACACACACACACACACACACACACACACACACACACACACACACACUGGACUUCAUUCAGGCCAAAAGGACAGACUGUCUGUAACAACUAUGGAUAAUA